rnacentral:rRNA from 1 species
GAUUGAACGCUGGCGGCAGGCCUAACACAUGCAAGUCGAGCGGAUGAAGGGAGCUUGCUCCUGGAUUCAGCGGCGGACGGGUGAGUAAUGCCUAGGAAUCUGCCUGGUAGUGGGGGAUAACGUCCGGAAACGGGCGCUAAUACCGCAUACGUCCUGAGGGAGAAAGUGGGGGAUCUUCGGACCUCACGCUAUCAGAUGAGCCUAGGUCGGAUUAGCUAGUUGGUGGGGUAAAGGCCUACCAAGGCGACGAUCCGUAACUGGUCUGAGAGGAUGAUCAGUCACACUGGAGCUGAGACACGGUCCAGACUCCUACGGGAGGCAGCAGUGGGGAAUAUUGGACAAUGGGCGAAAGCCUGAUCCAGCCAUGCCGCGUGUGUGAAGAAGGUCUUCGGAUUGUAAAGCACUUUAAGUUGGGAGGAAGGGCAGUAAGUUAAUACCUUGCUGUUUUGACGUUACCAACAGAAUAAGCACCGGCUAACUUCGUG